rnacentral:rRNA from 1 species
AGGGCACCACCUGGAGUGGCGCCUGCGGCUUUUUUUUCCUCACCACGGGAAACCCCCCCCCCCCCGGCCACCGGAAGGAUUGACAGAUUGAGAGCUCUUUCUUGCGUCGGUGGGUGGUGGUGCGCGGCCGUUCUUAGGUGGUGGAUCGAUUUGACUGGUGACCCCCGAUGACGAACGAGACUCUGGGCGACUAAAUAGAAACUUCAUCGUUUACGGGUUUGACGCUGCUUCGGGGGCCGACGGGCGGCUUUUACCCCCACGAGAAGGAACUUUCCCGGGAAGCGCCAUGCCCUUCCGGGGUCUGGGGUGCACUUGCGCUUGACUGAACAGGGAGCGUGUGUUCCCUCUCCGAAAGGACUGACACCCCCGUAGAACCUUCUUCCUGGUGUUGAUUAUUUUUCUGCUAUGAUUCCCCAUGAAAGAGGCACUCCAAUUAUCGGGCACGGCUGUGUGGUGCAAAAAAUAAAUUCGAAAAACUCUCAUGAGAACAGCUGCGCCCCCCCCCAGAGAGAACCCCCU